rnacentral:ncRNA from 1 species
UUAUUGGCAAACUUACAGAAAUGUGAGGACGCAAAGCUAGAGUCUAAACCAAAGAGAUGCGUAUGACAGAUCGGCUGCAA